GGGGGGGAUCAGAGGGGGUUGGUCUGGCAGUUUAGUGCCCACUCUAUGCAAUUCCUUGUGUCCAGCUCUGGUGAUGGCUAUCUAGAUGUUUUAUGGUCUAGGCCUGGUGCAAGAUCAAAGACCACAAUAAAUGUCAUCCCAAGGUUUACAAAAAACAACAACUCUUAACAUAUCUCAACACACAUCAAACACCAACUCAUG